GGGGAAUAUUGCACAAUGGGCGAAAGCCUGAUGCAGCGACGCCGCGUGAGGGAUGACGGCCUUCGGGUUGUAAACCUCUUUCAGCAGGGAAGAAGCGAAAGUGACGGUACCUGCAGAAGAAGCACCGGCUAACUACGUGCCAGCAGCCGCGGUAAUACGUAGGGUGCGAGCGUUGUCCGGAAUUAUUGGGCGUAAAGAGCUUGUAGGCGGUUUGUCGCGUCUGCAGUGAAAAUCCGGGGCUCAACCCCGGACUUGCUGUGGGUACGGGCAGACUAGAGUGUGGUAGGGGAGACCGGAAUUCCUGGUGUAGCGGUGGAAUGCGCAGAUAUCAGGAGGAACACCGAUGGCGAAGGCAGGUCUCUGGGCCACAACUGACGCUGAGAAGCGAAAGCAUGGGGGGCGAAC
rnacentral:rRNA from 1 species